ACGCGUUAAAGACCAUUACCAAUUUCCAUAUAUACGAGUCAUUAGGGGGGACAACUAUUGUGCAAUAAGGAGCACCAUCUUCCAGAUUUUAGUCUAUUCCUUUGCUCUUCCAAAAGAUUGGUCUUCCAGCGACUCUACUGCGAGUGAAAUUAAAAUUGACUUUUGUAAAACAGUUAUGAGUCGAUUCAAAUUUGCAGAAUGCAGAAACAGUCCUAUCAAAGAAUCAACUGAAUUAGUGCCAAUUUGUUUUAAAGCGUACUAUGAAAUGGCACAGAAACUGCAAGAAUAUUCAACAAUUGUUGAAAAGCAAAAUGUAUUAGCUAAAGCCUUGAAUUCAGACGCAGAUUGUGACCUUAACAUCAUGGAAGCAGUCAAACUGCUAAUGGUUCAGUGUGCUGUAAGUCUCUUUGUUGACAGAGAGGGGGGAAAGAAAGUGCCAGAGUGGGCGACGCAUCUGUUUGAUCGAGAUGGUUCAAAAACUGUUGAACAAUUAAUAAGCAAUCAUUUGAACAAAGUAGGACACAAGUGUGGAUUGGAACAGGUUGAAAUGUGCUUGCUGGGAUACAGCUUGGGUGUUCGUAUUCGGGUUCUGCGUCUCAUUUACUUUAACAAGGUGGAUUUUGAAGCUUUCUACCCACCGGAAGACAAAGAUGAUUUGCCUGUUGUGACAUUAAUUUCAGAGGAUGACCGACACUACAACAUUCCAGUGGAAUAAUUCAGCCAUUGGCGUCCACACUGAACUAGUCAAUUAUUCUGAAGGAAUCCUUGUACAUGGUUAUGUCUGACCAAUUAUAAGCCAUGCAACAGGACAUUGGACAUCAUCUUAAAGAUGUAUUGAACUCCUUCAUUAGACUUUGUUCAAUUAUUGUUAUAUACUUAAUGGGAUACCUUGGAGGCGUCUUUCCAGAUAUAGACAGUGUCUGGAAGAACUCAACCCUAACAGAAAAUAUAUACUAAUGAGUUCUUACUUUUGUGCAUGUAUAGCAAAAUUUAAAAACUCAAGUUAAUCAGCAACAUUUUGUGUGAUAAUCUUUCUUGGUGGUUAUAUAUAACAAGAAACAAAAAUUGUUUAGUGUUUUUUUCUAUACCACAAAACUAAUAUUGCUCCAAUGGUCCUAUAACCCUACAGAAAGUUCUGAAAAUUAAUUAUUGAAACCAUGAUGUAAAAUAUGCAGUGACUAUAUUGUUCGAUAUUUUGUAAUUGAAUGUAUUCUGUGUUUAAGUCCAUAAAAUUUAAAGAUAUAUACUUAUGUUAAGACUAGUGUAUAUAUUAUCUUUUAUGUAAUUCUUGUUUGGGGAGCAUUAUCACAGCUCUGAAGGCUCUAAUAUCAUUCACCAUUUUGUCUUUAUGAUAUAAAUGUGUGGUACUGGUUGAUUAUAACAGGACGUUGCCUUAUGGAGCACUUAAGUUUUUUUAAUACAAAAAGAAAUUGAUCUCAUUUUGCUUGGAGAUAAUACUGCAAAGCAGGUUGAAAUGUUUUCAGUGCUCAAUAUUAGUAGAUUGUUAUUGUAGUAUAAAACGUAAGAGUAAAAUUGUUCUCUUGUCUGUUGUUUUAACCUCAGAUACAGUUAUGUUUGGCAUGAAAUUGAAUGUAUGCCAAAAGAAAAUUCUGAAGCUAUUUAGCUUGACUAUUGUUAAGUUUGAUGGUUACAUUGUUAGAAAGGUAAGGUUUUUCAAUGUCAGAGGCUAUAAUCUUAUUAACACUUUUUUCUUACAAUUAUGUUUGUAUCUGUUGAUUGAAUGGAAGUAGAUCCUGGAUGUUGAAGUAUCAAGCAAGUGGUAUUAAAGCUGAUGUAAUAGUGUAUGAAUGUUUUGGGUACUUAGUUGGCAUUAAAAACUUCCAUGCCACCAUUAAAUAAUGUUUACUAUUUGUUAAGUAUGAAUAUUUAUGUUUGAAAGGAGUUGUAUAGUCUUGCUGUUAUGGAAUUGACAUAAUAAACAGUUUAUUUGGUUUAUGAUUCAUGUUAAGUCUAAGUUUAAGUUAUUUUUAUUUUCAUAUUAUAUGUAUGUUAUUGCAUAAUAGUGUGCUGAACAUGUGUUCAGUGGCCAAUUUAAUUAUGCCCCCCUUCGAAGAAGAGGGGGUAUAUUGCUUUGCUCAUGUCGGUCUGUCGGUCGGUCUGUCGGUCCACCAGGUGGUUGUCAGACGAUAACUCAAGAACGCUUGGGCCUAGGAUCAUGAAACUUCAUAGGUACAUUGAUCAUGACUCGCAGAUGACCCCUAUUGAUUUUGAGGUCACUAGGUCAAGGUCACGGUGACCCGAAAUAGUAAAAUGGUUUCCUGAUGAUAACUCAAGAACGCUUAGGCCUAGGAUCAUGAAACUUGAUAGGUAGAUUGAUCAUGACUCGCAGAUGACCCCUAUUGAUUUUCAGGUCACUAGGUCAAAGGUCAAGGUCACAGUGACCCGAAAUAGUAAAAUGGUUUCCGGAUGAUAACUCAAGAACGCUUAGGCCUAGGAUCAUGAAACUUGAUAGGUAGAUUGAUCAUGACUCGCAGAUGACCCCUAUUGAUUUUCAGGUCACUAGGUCAAAGGUCAAGGUCACGGUGACCCGAAAUAGUAAAAUGGUGUCCGGAUGAUAACUCAAGAAUGCUUAUGGCUAGGAUCAUGAAACUUCAUAGGUACAUUGAUCAUGACUGGCAGAUGACCCCUAUUGAUUUUCUGGUCACUAGGUCAAAGGUCCAGGUCACAGUGACAAAAAACAUAUUCACACAAUGGCUCUCACUACAACGGAGAGCCCAUAUGGGGGGCAUGCAUGUUUUACAAACAGCCCUUGUUGAUUUUGAUAUUGUAAUUAUAAGAACAAGGGGUCAUUUUAGGAUACUAGACAUAUGUGACGCAAUUAAGCAUCAGGUCAGAAAUAUAUGUUCUGUUAAGUAGAAUUUUAUAAUUAAGCAGUUAUAUUUUGUUCCACAUGAACAUUGGAGAUGUUUAAAUACGUGUUUUUUAAUAAUGAUCAUAUAUUUAAUUUGAAUAUUGCCCUUGAUAUGCAUAAAAUAUAUUUGUUGGAAGCUAUCUUAGUAAUACUAUCGAAUUAGUACUGAGGUAUGAUAAAAUAAAAUAUUAAGUAUAUAUUAUACACAUGAAGGUAAGAAGCAAGUGGAGCAAGCCUUCAAUUCACCAAUGUUUAGUUAGACUAAGGCGUGAUACUGCAAAUAACAAAUAUUCAUGUUGUUUUUCCCAUGGUGUUAUCCUUCAGACAUUGAAUCAUUCUUUAGAAGAAUAUUAAUUAAUAUUUAUUUUUUUAUUUAUACUAUUUAUUUAGAAUCACUAUUUAUGACAAAGGUAGUUCUAACAGACUCUUACAUUAUGUGAACUUGUACCUCAAACAGUCACUUGCAAUUUCAAGUAUUUGAUUGUGACCUUACAUGUCCAGUAAACAUUUUAAUAUUAAAUUGUUAUUUUUAAUGUUAUUUUUUUAUGAACAAAUGUUAUUUGAAGCCUGUGAUUUAGGUAGAACUGCUUCAGCAGCUUGUGAUUACUUUUGUGCCAUGUAUUAAGGAAUAUUGAUCUAAAAAAUAAUUAAAUGCCUUUUUUUAUGUCCCCCACCACUAUAGUGGGGGACAUAUUGUUUUUGCCCUGUCUGUUGGUUUGUUUGUUUGUGUGUUUGUUUGUUUGUUUACCCCAUCUUUAACAUUUGCACUAUUGAAUAUAGCAACUUGAUAUUUGGCAUGCAUGUGUAUCUCAUGGAGCUGCACAUUUUGAGUGGUGAAAGUUCAAGGUCAUCCUUCAAGGUCAAAGGUCACAUAUAUAGCUUCAAAGCGGCGCAAAAGGGGACAUAGUGUUUCUGAAAAACACAUAUCUUGUUUUUAAGUUAAUCUAAUAUAAAUUUUGCGCUUUUUAUAUGUUAAAGAUUAAUGUUGAGAAGUAUAAAAUUAAUAAAUGUUUGAAUAAAAUUACUUUACUUUGUUUUAAGUAUAUAUUUUGCAAUUAAUAUUUUCAAUAUAUAACUUCUGGACUUCUCUUUUAAAUUGCGACGUUGCCUUUAAUAUAUAGUUGUAUAAUUGGGAGAAUACUUUUACCUCUAAUAAUUUAUAACACAGCGUGUUAACUGUAUUAUACAUUACAAUUGGUUAUUUGUAUAUUUAAAACAAAAUGUAUUUCAGAUACCGUUUAUAUAGUUUGUAAACUUUAAGUUAACUACUAAACUAUAAAAGUUUCUUUUGGUACAAUUUAAUGAACUGCCUCAAGUAUAAAUUAUACUUGAGACAGUUCAUUAAAUUGUACCAAAAGACGUAUAUUUCCCCUCUAAAAGUGUGUGUGUUUUUUUGGAAACCUUUAAUUUGAAAUUUUUAGGGGCCAAUUGGGAAUAAUAUAUACUUUUUUACAAUACGAUUGGGGCCCUGAAUUUGAACAGGAACAGAAACACUGACACAGGUAUUAAAACUGAGUAUUUAUAAUUGUUGAAAGGAAAUCACUGACAAAGACUACGGAUGGACAGGUAACAUGUUUGUUGAAAAGAAAAACAGAUUCAUAAAUUUGUCAAGCAACAAAUAAGAAUUUGGCAGAAUUCAGUAUUUGGAAUAAUUGAGUACCGGUAAUGUCAACCCAUUAAUGGAUCAUUGGUAAAAAAAUAUGUAAAAUUGAAACAAUAAAUCGAUAUCAUUAUUAAAGUUAACAACAAAUCGAUCUCGUUAUAUAAGUUAACCAGUGUAGAAAAUAUUAUAUUAUUAAAUUAUCUGUUGCCUUGAAUUUGUUUGAAAACAGUAAAAUAUGUUACAUUGAUUAUUUAAGACUUUCAUUAUUUCCCCCCCCCCCCCAAAUAAAGGAAAGGUCUUUCCCAAAAAUCAGAUAAAAAAGCCUUUGUGAAAAAAAAUGGUGGAAGCAAUUAGAGAGGUGAUAUGGAUAAUCGUCAUUAGUUGAAACCUGUAAGUUUAAUAAAUCUAAAGCUUUUAAUGUUGUUGUGAAUUCACACCAAUGUUUAAAGCUUAAGACUUCGGAAAGGUGCUGAUAUUUACUUGUUAUUUUCCAUAAA